rnacentral:rRNA from 1 species
UCGAUAGCGGACAAGUACCGAGAGGGAAAGUUGAAAAGUACUUUGAAAAGAGAGUGCAAGAGAACGUGAAACCGGUGUAAUGGAAGCGAAUGGAGCCGACGUAUCUAGUGCGUAUUCAGCCUUCUGGGCGCGUGAUUGGUGUUUGUGCAUUGCCGCAAGGUGUGCCUGGCGCUAUUGUCGCGUGUUCGGUUGGUGCAUUUGCGUACGGAGUGCGCCGGGUUGUGUGGUGUUGUCGGACGAUGCGCGUUUAGAGGACCCGGGCUUCGGCGCUGGGAACCCUGGGCGUGUGGAGUUCGGUUGGCGCUGCGCAGCUUUGUGGAGACGUGGGUUUUUCGCGUGCCGCGGUGUCGACAGGCUCGGUUCGGGUGGUACACAUGUGUGCAGCCCUUAUGGGGUCGGUCGGUGUUGUGGUGUGCUCUGCGUUCUUCCCGGUGUUCAGUCGGUGACCCAUUCGACCCGUCUUGAAACACGGACCAAGGAGUUUAUGGUAUGCGCAAGUCAUUGGGUUUGUCGAAGCCUAAAGGCGUAAUGAAAGUGAGACAUUACUUGUCUGAACGUGACUGGGUGCGGCAUUCGUGCGGCCCAAGCAACGUUGCCCCGUUUCGAGGACUUGUCCUGAUGCGGAGGUUGAGC